UAUUAUUUUUAGGGUUCCGUAUCCAAAGGGUAAAACGGGACCCUAUUACUAAGACUCCGCUGUCCGUCCGUCCGUCCGUCUGUGUAUCUCAUGAACCGUGAUAGCUGGACAGUUGAAAUUUUCACAGAUUGUAUUUCUGUUGACGCUAUAACAACAAAUACUAAAAUAAAUAUUUAAGUGGGGCUCCCAUACAAAAAACUUAUGUUUUUUGCGUCAUGUGAAAAUAAUGGUACGGAACCCUUCGUGCGCGAGUCCGACUCGCACUUGGCCGGUUUUUUAUAAUUUAC